CUUGGGUCCGGCAUAACUCCGGGAAACUGGAGAUAAUUCCGGAUAACGCACAUAUGCUGGAAUGCUUUAUGCGUAAAAUGGAUUCGUCUGCCCAAGGAUGGGUCUGCGGCCUAUCAGGUAAUANUGGGUGUAAUGUACCUACUAGCCUACGACGGGUACGGGUUGUGAGAGCAAGAGCCCGGAGAUGGAUUCUGAGACAUGAAUCCAGGCCCUACGGGGCGCAGCAGGCGCGAAAACUUUACAAUGCGGGAAACCGUGAUAAGGGGACACCGAGUGCCAGCAUCAUAUGCUGGCUGUCCAGGUGUGUAAAAUACACCUGUUAGCAAGGGCCGGGCAAGACCGGUGCCAGCCGCCGCGGUAACACCGGCGGCCCGAGUGGUGAUCGUGAUUAUUGGGUCUAAAGGGUCCGUAGCCGGUUUGGUCAGUCCUCCGGGAAAUCUGAUAGCUCAACUAUUAGGCUUUCGGAGGAUACUGCCAGACUUGGAACCGGGAGAGGUAAGAGGUACUACAGGGGUAGGAGUGAAAUCUUGUAAUCCCUGUGGGACCACCUGUGGCGAAGGCGUCUUACCAGAACGGGUUCGACGGUGAGGGACGAAAGCUGGGGGCACGAACCGGAUUAGAUACCCGGGUAGUCCCAGCCGUAAACGAUGCUCGCUAGGUGUCAGGCAUGGCGCGACCGUGUCUGGUGCCGCAGGGAAGCCGUGAAGCGAGCCACCUGNGAAGUACGGCCGC
rnacentral:rRNA from 1 species